rnacentral:rRNA from 1 species
AGGGCAUUGGGGGCAGCUACACAUGCAAGUCGAGCGGAUGAGAGGAGCUUGCUCCUUGAUUUAGCGGCGGACGGGUGAGUAAUGCCUAGGAAUCUGCCUGGUAGUGGGGGAUAACGUCCGGAAACGGGCGCUAAUACCGCAUACGUCCUACGGGAGAAAGCAGGGGACCUUCGGGCCUUGCGCUAUCAGAUGAGCCUAGGUCGGAUUAGCUAGUUGGUGAGGUAAUGGCUCACCAAGGCGACGAUCCGUAACUGGUCUGAGAGGAUGAUCAGUCACACUGGAGCUGAGACACGGUCCAGACUCCUACGGGAGGCAGCAGUGGGGAAUAUUGGACAAUGGGCGAAAGCCUGAUCCAGCCAUGCCGCGUGUGUGAAGAAGGUCUUCGGAUUGUAAAGCACUUUAAGUUGGGAGGAAGGGCAGUAAGCUAAUACCUUGCUGUUUUGACGUUACCGACAGAAUAAGCACCGGCUAACUUCGUGCCAGCAGCCGCGGUAAUACGAAGGGUGCAAGCGUUAAUCGGAAUUACUGGGCGUAAAGCGCGCGUAGGUGGUUCGUUAAGUUGGAUGUGAAAGCCCCGGGCUCAACCUGGGAACUGCAUCCAAAACUGGCGAGCUAGAGUACGGUAGAGGGUGGUGGAAUUUCCUGUGUAGCGGUGAAAUGCGUAGAUAUAGGAAGGAACACCAGUGGCGAAGGCGACCACCUGGACUGAUACUGACACUGAGGUGCGAAAGCGUGGGGAGCAAACAGGAUUAGAUACCCUGGUAGUCCACGCCGUAAACGAUGUCAACUAGCCGUUGGGUUCCUUGAGAACUUAGUGGCGCAGCUAACGCAUUAAGUUGACCGCCUGGGGAGUACGGCCGCAAGGUUAAAACUCAAAUGAAUUGACGGGGGCCCGCACAAGCGUGGAGCAUGUGGUUUAUUUCGAAGCACGCGAAGAACCUUACCUGGCCUUGACAUGCUGAGAACUUUCCAGAGAUGGAUUGUGCCUUCGGGAACUC